rnacentral:lncRNA from 1 species
UGGAGAGAGAGCUCGAGGAGAUGAGGGAGUGUUACAGGAGCGGAAGGACGAUGGAGGCCUCUUGGAGGAAGUCCCAGCUCAAAGGUUUGCUUCGACUCCUCAGGGAAAGAGAGGAGGAGAUCUUCAGGGCCCUCCAUCAGGACCUGGGCAAACAUCCUGCGGAGGCCUACAGGGAUGAGGUUAGAGGUGGCAAAAUGGGUCUUAAACCAAUAUAUGACCCAUUUAAAUCAUAAAUGGAUUAUAUAUGGGUCACUUAUUUUUUGACAAAAAGUAGUUAAAUGGGUUUAACAAUUAAAAUUUUUGAUAAGUAGGUGGGUCUUAAAUGGGUUUUAAAUGAGUUGGAUUUAGAAUCCAUUUUCACUCAAAACCUCACAAUCUCUCACUUCUCUCUUUAGCUUUAUAAAAAUACUUUUUUUUUUUUUUAUUUAUAAAAACUGAAAUUAUAAUUUUUUUUUUUAUUUUUUCUUUCUCCAUUCGCCGGCACAGGUGAGCCUCGAACUCGUCGAAUCUGGCAAGACUCGAACUCGCCAGUGUCGGGCGAGGGGCGAGGGGCGAGCUCGAGCUUGCCUGACACUGGCGAGUCUCGAGCUUACCAUAUCUAGAGAGGCAGAUGCCUUGCCGACGUUUGGCAAGGCUCGAGCCUCGCCGAUCUAGCGAGACUCGAGCUCACCGGUGUCGGGUGAGCUUGAGGCUCGCCUUUGGCGGACUGUCGGCUGUCGUCAUGGCCGAUGGCCGGCCAAAGAAGAAGAAGAAGAAAAAAGAAAAUUAUAUUUAAAAAAUAAAAAAAUAAUUAAAAAUUGAUUUAAAAAAUAAAAAUAUUUAAAUUCAAUUUUUUAAAUAAUUAAUUUAAAAAUUAUAAAAAUUGUCCAUUAAAUUUGUGUUGUAUAAAAAUAUUUUAGCCAUACAAUUUUUUUAAAUAUAUAUAAAAAAUAAGCUUUCUUAAGUUUAGUUAAAUAUGUCGGGUAUGGGUAAAAAUUUUUGCAUUGCAAUAAAUGGGUCAUAAACGGAUUAAAUGGGUUGAUUUGGAUCGGACCAUUUAUGACCCGACCCAAACCCGACUUGACCCACCCAUUUAACGGGUCUAGAUGAGGUGAACCUGGAUUACAUUGGCAGCACUUACUUCUUAAUGAGGGAUUCCUUUAUGCAAUGAAUCUCCGAAAUAUGUAGGGCCUGAGGUGACUUAAACCUGAAAUAACCUACAUGAAUACGAUCAUCUUUUUUUUCGUAUGUUGCUACGUGUGUUUGGUGCUAGUUGGCCGGUUGAGUGGGACGGUCUCCUUGUCCCAAACAUAUAAGAUAAUCAUUGAAGCUUAGGCCUUGUUUGGUUUGGCUUUCAGAAGAGACUUUGGGACUCUAAAGUCUCUUGGCCAAAUGCAAACGUGUUUGGUUCGGUUUUUUGGGCGACUUUGGCAAAUUGCAAUUGCAUCUCCAAAUAGCUCUAAGGGCCUUUAGCUCAAUGUAAGGUUUGAGGUACCUUGGGAAGUUGUAUUUUGAGAAUGCAAAUAGCUCAGCUAUUAUUCAUCUUCUUCGACUUCUCCAAUGGACCGCUGCUGAUUGGAGGUCGACGACCACCAGCCAAGGGGUGGUGCGUGCCGGCGAUCGUCGCUUGAGGGUUGCCUGACCCCAGCGACCGUCGCCGAACCUUAGGUGAUGUACGGAUCGCGCGACCCAAGCGACUGAUGGCUUGAAUUGCGCGACCCAAGUGGCUGCCUGAGGUCGUGCAACCACAGACUAUCGGCCCCAGUUGUCAGCCGCCUGAGGUUGCACGACCGACGCUUGGCGUCAUGCGCUUGAGGUGGGCAACCUCAGGCAACAGCAACUGGGGGCGAUUUGGCCGUCCGGUUUUGUUUUUUUAAUUUAACAAAAGUCAAUUCCGAACUACCGCCUGCGGUGGCCUAGCUGGAUAAGAGCUCUCAUGAUGUCUACCCAGGACGGAGGGGUUCAAAUCCCGCAGGAUGCACGGGAUCUUAAGCGUGACGUCAGGGUGGUGGGUCAUCUGCUAGCGUCAAGGUCCUCUGCUAGCGUCAAGGUCCUCUGCUAGCGUCGCCCCAAGGUUUACCCACUAACUACUGGUUGUACGGGUUCCCUGGGAAUCCAAAAAAAAAAGUCAAUUCCGAACGCAAUUUUUACCAAACAAUAUAUUUUGCCCAAAGUCAUUUCACAAUGCACUUCAAAACUACAAUUUACCAAACACUAUUUGCAUUUUCACAAACCUCUUUAGCUUGAAGGUAUUUGCAUUUUCCCAAUGUCAUUUGCCCAAAGCUGAACCAAAUGGGUCCUUAGAUACUGAGAGAAGUGCAAAUUUAGCAGAUAAUUUGCACCCAAGAUUUGAGUGAAGAUGACGAACACGCUAGCAUUCGAUCAACGUAAAAAUUUGGGAUAAAUUUAUCAGUAAUCACAUAGUGUUCACUUAAAGAUGUGACAAAGUGGAUACUUAAAGUAGCCUAAACUGAAAUAUUCUCAACUAUAAUCAAGACAAAUUACCGAACGAGAACGGUGACAGGUUCUUUUAGUGUAUCAUCUGGGUUUAUGGAACAAAACUUGGAAACGGGACCCUUAGCGGGACUAAUGUAGUGUCACUGCAUCUAACAGCUUGAGUUUUUUGGUGGAGAUUAUGUGUAUCGUUUGCCAACAAUUGUUUACGUCCCCUCGACAUUUUUUAGGGUUUCUCUUCGUGGCUUUGCAUUUGUGGAGUUCGUCCUUAGAGGCGUCGUUAUGUUCACCGACAUUUUGAGGAAUGACCAUUCAUUUACGGUUACAUCUGCAGAUAGGAAGCUUGAUAAAGUCUGUGAACUAUGCAUUGGACGGCUUGAAACGAUGGAUGUCCGGCAAUAAGGUGAGGGCUUGCACUUUUUUGCUCAAGAUGAAUGCUGAGUGUGCACUUGGAGAGCGUUCCUUGUAACAUUCACAGAACGGAACAUGUCGCUAGUUAUAUAUGGUGAUAAAUGAUAGUUCGAACAGCUAAUCCUAGCAUUCCGACAGGCUCUGGGGUUCCUCCUGAAUUACAUCCACAAAAUCAAACCAAUAUGCCUAUUAUUAUACUGCAGAUCAUACAACAUGAUAACAUUCUCUUAAGAUUUUGUAUAUGAUUGAUAGGCUAAACUGCCAAGACUCGCAUUACUCACUACUGCGAAGAUUCUUCCCGAGCCUCUUGGUCUAGUGCUGGUAAUCUCAUCCUGGAACUUUCCAAUCGGUGAGGAUAGUAGUUUUUGGAAGGUUAACUUAUGAAGGCUGAUUAAUUUUUGGCUGGGUGAUAUGUCUUGGUUAUCAAUCAGUCUCUGUGCCUGAUAAUAUUUGGCCAUAUGUUUAUGUUUAUAGGACUGUCCUUGGAACCGCUGAUAGGAGCGCUAGCUGCAGGCAAUGCCGUGGUUUUGAAACCUUCAGAGUUGGCUCCGGAAUGCUCUUCUCUUCUAGCCAAUGCUAUUCCUCAUUAUUUAGACGACAAAGCUGUGAAAGUCAUUCAAGGUGGUCCUGGCAUCGGAGAACGACUUCUGCUUCAAAAAUGGGACAAAAUAUUCUUCACAGGUUCAAAACACCCUUGUUUGAAGAAUCUCUCCUCCAAUAUUCAUGUUUGACUCAAACCCGUCCCAUGGAUGGUUUAGCAUUUUCGGUUUCUGAAAUUCGUAGGGAGUGCCCGGAUAGGACGGAAAGUCAUAGCGGCAGCAGCGGAGCAUCUAACGCCCGUUACUCUGGAGCUUGGUGGAAAAUGCCCUGCCGUGAUAGACACUCUCUCCAGCUCUUUCGACAGAAAGGUGAUUUUGCUUUUCUUGAUUCCAGAAUGACCUUGCAAGUUAUCUCUUUCAGUUCCUUUUGUCCUAUUAAUUAUCAGGUGGCUGUGCAACGAGUUCUUGGGGCGAAAUUUAGUUCCUCAGCAGGACAAAUAUGCAUUGGAGUGGACUAUGUCCUAGUGGAGAAGAAAUUCAGUUCCUCUUUGGUAUGAUAAUGAUGAUGAUCUGUUAUUUCCUUCUUAGGUGUUCGAUGUUUUAUUUGCUUGGCGAUACUGAUGUUAUCUUCCUUGCAUUCUUUCCUAUUCUAUUCAGGUCGAAUUGAUGAAGAUGAUGAUGAAGAAGAUGUUUGGAGAAAAUCCAAGGGAGUCACAAAGUGUUGCGAGAAUCGUGAAUAAGCAUCAUUUCUUAAGAUUGCGGAGCCUUUUACUCGAUCCUCUGGUCAAAUCUUCUAUCGUCUACGGGGGAUCAAUGGAUGAAGAGAGCCUGUAAGCCGUCUCUUCCACGUCGUCUUUUCUGCUCCAACUCGAACUCUUGAAUGAAGAAACUUUGUGAUUAAUGAUGCUAUCUAAGUACAGGGAAAAUUCGACCCCAAAAAAAAAAGAGGGGAAAAAUUUGCCUACAGAUGAUCAAUUUCAAGUGCAGUGAUUAUCUAAGUACAUAUGCAGGUUCAUUGAGCCGACGAUCUUGAUGGAUCCUCCACUUCAAGCGGCAAUCAUGAUGGAUGAAAUCUUCGGCCCAUUACUUCCCAUUGUAACCGUAAGAUGCGUUAAACCCGAAAAAGCAAUUCAUCAAUUUGUUUUAUGCCAUUUCUUCAAAAAUCAAGUGGUCGUCGAGCAAUCAGUGGCCAGCUGAAUACCAAUGCUGGUGCAAUCUGGUAUGACGUUAUUUUGUUUUGACAGCUGAACAAGAUAGAAGACAGCAUCGAGUUCAUAAACUCGAGGCCUAAGCCGUUAGCCAUCUAUGUCUUCACUAAAGACGAGCCGCUGAGGAGGAGCAUGGUAUCGAAGACAUCGUCUGGGAGCAUCGUAUUCAACGAUGCAAUCGUUCAGGUUUACCUCCAAUCCUAUAUAACAUCUACAAAUACCUAAGCUACCGGUGCAUUUUUGUCGGUCUUUAAAGAGCAAAUUAAGCAUCUUUUGCUGGGGCUUGUAGUUGUCUACGUUAAUGUUUCUCAGUAAGGUCUUAGAAAUGUUAACGAAGAGACUUUUUCGUUCGAUUUGCGUAUAUGUCAGUGUCUAGUCGAUACUCUCCCAUUCGGUGGAAUUGGUGAGAGCGGGAUGGGCAGAUAUCACGGGAAGUUCUCCUUCGACACCUUCAGCCACCAAAAAGCAGUAAUGAGAAGAAGCUUCCUCGUCGACGUCUGGUUCAGAUUCCCGCCUUGGAACGAUCACAAGCUGCAGCUCUUCCGGUCGUCAUAUCACUAUGACUACCUCGGGAUCGUUUUGACCGUGCUGGGCCUGAAGAGGACGAACAGAGCCUCGAAAGGCAUCUAGACAUCUAACCGAGCAUGCCUGCCAUGUCCUAUGAAGCAUCCUCGUUAAUCUAAAGAAGAUAAUUCCAUAUAUGGCAUCAACUGGCUGCGUUUGCAAAGCUUCCAGCGUCCGUCACUCCCGUAUCUUUCACUGAAUAUGUAUGGUGCAACCUUCUACCACUUGAGAAUUAUGAAGAGAUUGCUUUAUACAUGCGCGAGGAAGAGGGUUGCUUUGCGAUAGAUUCAGCUUUCUUUAGAAGAUCAUUUCACGUACCAAACUCCUGCUGUCUCAAAGAUCACAAACCAGAUCCUCUAGUUCCGAGUUCAUGUACUAUUCCACAUUGCGAAAGCACGUGUUCAUCGAGUUUAGCAAUAGAUUGACACCUCUGAUCUGGUUCAAUGCAGGAAUCGUAAGUCUCCAUGUCGUUCCUUGCGCUCGGACUUCGAUCUUACUGUACCUAGUAAGUCUCAGUCGGAAACGGAGACAUCCGUUUGAACCUGAGCCUAGGAACCCUCAUCAGGAAAAUCAGUAACCAGUGAUGUUGAAAAAUAUUAGAUGACAUGAAAAUAAUGAUAUAUUUAUUGAAAAAGAUUAGAAGAUAAAAAUAAAUGUUAAGAGGCGUGCAAGCAAUGUUCUUAAGAUAAAUUUGCCCUUUGGAGUAUGAAACUCGAUUUGUAUAUCCUCUCAAACCUUCUUCUAUAUUAUUUUGUGCUGAAUAUUAGAAGCAACAAAAUAAUGUUAUGUGUAUAACCAAACAAGGAAAUGAUAGAUACGUAACCGGACAGGAAAAGAGAAAUAAGAAUAUUCUGGUUUUAAAUUAUUGAUAUCACUUUUCAAUUAUGUUCAUAGUAAUAAAAUAUAGGUAAAAGAAAAAGAGAGCCGUUAAGAAACAGUUAUGAAUAAAUUGGUAAUUGAAUAAGAAAAUAACCCUUCUAUAGCUAUUAUAAAAUAAUGAAGAGUUUAUGUAGAAAUAAAUGAAACAUUAGAAAGCCAUCAUAUCACUGUUAUAUAGUUGUUACACGGUUGUUACAUGACCGCUAAAUAACAGUUAUAAAAUGUAACAAAAUUGUUUUAUAUUAAAUGGCACAAAAAUUGUUGUAAUUUGAUAAUGGUAAAAAAUUGUUACAAAAAUUAGUAGCUUACAAUUUUUCAAAAAUACCAAAAUAUCCAACAAUCCCCCACAUAUUUGAAAAAGUUUUGAAAAUAAAAAAUAUAAUAAUUGUGGGUUAUUGGAGAGUAAUGUAUCAAAAUUUGUGCUUGUUAGCUUAUGAAGCAACCCUAAAAUGAAUGAAAUAUAAUUCAUGAAAUUAUUGGUGAAGUUUGAAACUUCUAUGAACUAAUAAUUUUAAUAAUUUCUUUUUGUGAAUUAUAAUUUUCACUAAUUACAUUACACUCCCACAAAUUUUACUAUUCAAUCCAAUUUUGCGCUAAUAGGCCAUGCGCGUGCUUGGUUUAUGCUCUAGAGACUAUUGCCAAUAAUUCUCAUAGGCUCCACACUUAUAUUGGUGAUUCCAUCAAGUGUAUAUAUCCUACAAUUUAAUACACCACUAAUAAUGGUUAUGGAAUUUCAUUAAGAGCCUAGCUUAACCGUUUUUUUCUUGCAAUUUUGCACUAUUAUCACCUUAAUAGGGACACGAUUUUUUUUUUUUAAUGGUGCACUAGAUCAACAAAUAUUUUGUUAUUAUCGAAUCAACAUUCAUUCCUCCGUCCAGGUUCGCUCGAGAUCUCACAUUUCCGCAGUCACUCGGCUCAAUUUCUUGCGACAGCCAACGGAAUUCAACCCAAAACUUAAAAGUCCAUCAAGAGCAGAAUGCAAUGCGAGAUUUACGAAGCUUCCCCGCGAAUGGAAAAGCUAGAAAGUCGCAGAAGCAAGACAUGGACAGCUCUGAUCCGAGCUGCAAAACUGCAAGUGGAAUGCAGGAAGACGAAGGGAGCAACGAUGCAUACCAUCUUUCGAUGCAGAGAUGCCAGAGCGAGUUCGUUAGGCGACAAGUUCGUUGCUCAUGUCCGUUUCAAAGAGAGAGAGAGAGAGAGAGAGAGAUGGGAAAUUCUAAGUUUUCCAUUCUAUGUCACGUCCUCAAACUAUUACAAAAAUUCUGGUGUCAAAAUCAUAAAAUCUUGCUUGGUGCAAGUAAAAUAAGAAAAGCAUUGGUAAAUUUUGAUAGUUAAGUAUUAACCGGCAAUUUAUUUAGGAUGUGUUUAUUUCACGAAAAUAAUUGAUUCGGAAAAUAUUAUUCUAAAUAUGAUCUUUUGUAUUGUUUGAAAAAAUGAGCCCAUGAAAAAUAUUUUCAUUAACCUAAUAAUUUUCAUGGACGAUGAAAAUAUUUCUCAUUCAUUCAUUUCCGUGACUAAUAUAGACCGUCACUUUUAGGAUAAAGUUUUUCAAUUCAUUCAUUUUCUAAGAAACAAACGGAGCCUUAGUCUAUAAUUUGUUGAUAAAUUAUUGAUACUCUUUAUAAAAGCACUAAUAUUUAUUUUAUUUCAUUUUUAAAUUACCAAAUAAUUGCCGACGUAGCUCAUGUUAAGGUUACUGAACUUUUCUUUAGAAAUGAGAAAAUUGUCCAAAAAGUGUUAAAUCUAUUGCGUGAUGGUCAAUUAGGUCACAAACCUUCAAAUUGUAUCAAUUUUAUCAUAAAUCUUUUGAUGAUUUAUCAAUUUAAUAUAAACCUUUAAUUGUAUUGAUUUAGCGAUAAAUUUUUUGACAAUUUGCUAAUUUAGUCAUAAAUUUGUUUAGACUUACCAAUUUAGUCAUUUCAACCAAUUUUAUUAGGAAAUCACUACCUUGAGGUCUAGUCAACACCGACAUGUGACGAGUUAGUAUUAAUGUAAACAAUUUUUGUAAUUUUUUUGUUUAAAUUUUGUUCUUUUCUUCUUCUUUUUUGGCUAACUCUAGGCUCGCAAAGUUGUCAAUUGACCCUUGCCCUCACCCCAAUCUAGGCGAGGGACCAAUGCCAUUGUCUGUGGUUGGCAAGGGCGAUGACACCCUCAUCAAAACUAGGUCAGAGUUCAAAAAAAAGAAAAGAAAAAAAAUUAUUCAAGUCAACACUAGUUGUGCCCCCUAAGAUACCACUAACUAAACAGCCAUGUCAGUAAUUUUCGACCAAAAUUGGUCGGGAGGACUGAAUUGGCAACUCAUUAAAAUAUUCUAGACUAUAUUGAUAAAUUGUUAAAAUAUUUAGAACUAAAUUGAAGUUAAAAUUUUUCAAAUUAUAUUAAAUAGUUGAAAUGUGUAUGAUUGAAUUGAUCAUUUCACUUACCAAUAUUUGCCUCCUUGUUUUGAAAUUAUAAACUCUUUCAAUAAUUUAUGGACAUUUACUUGUUAGACUUAUCAAUGUGUUGUUAGUUCUCAUGGGAAAAUUACCGACGUUAAAUUGAGGGUGUAGCAACUUUUCAUAGACUAAGUUACCAAAUAGUGAGUUUUUUUUUUUUUUGGUUGUUACCAAAUAGUGAGUUGCAAAGAUUGUUUUGAAGAUACCAAUUUUCAAUAAUUUACCAACAUUCGUCUGCGAAGCUUACCAAUAUAUUAAAAUUACUGAUGGAACUACCAACUUUUGAGUUCACUUACCCUCGUUUAAUUGAUUGCUUGAAAUUACCAACCGUUCCAAUAAUUUCUUACAUUUAUUUGCUAAACUUAAGUUACUAACUCUUUUUAUAGAUUAUUAACUACUAUCUGAGUCAUUAACCCAAUGCAGAUUUUAUCGUUUGACAAUCAAUGACUAUCGGUUAAGUUGUGUCAAUAUAAAUUAGUAAAUUAUCGAGCAGGUGGUAAUUUCAAAGCUAUCAAAUAAACGUUAGUAACCAAUUUAAAUAAGAGUUGAUAAUUUAAAAUAAAUGUUGGCAUCUUAAGCUUGCAAAUAAAUCUUGGUACAUUGGAGUAGUUGGUAAUACAAAGAAAGUUGGUAAUUUCACAUGAGAGUUAGUGACUUUAAUACAAUGGUAAAUUCCCAAAUAAAUGUUAGUAGAUAAUUGAAACAAUUGGCACUUUUGAAACGUUGAUGUAAUUUCAAACAAAAAAGAAAAUUGAUGUGAAAGUUGGUAACUAACUUAAACAAUAGUUCGUGAUUUUGUGUAAAAGUUAGUAAAUUAAGUUUCGAAAUUAAAUGUUGGUAAACGGUUGAAGUUGUUGAUGAUUUUGAAGGCGGUUGGUAAUUUUGUAUAAUAGUACUUUAACACAAUGGUAAUUUCAACGAACACAAAUUUGUAAAUUCUACGAGCUUUGGUAAUUUUCAACAUAAUUGAAACAAACGUCAAUAUGUGGACUCAAAUAAGAGAAAAAAUUACCGGAAAAGUUUUAAAUCUAUUAUACGACAGCCAAUUCAGACCUAAAUAUUUUAAUUUAGUCAAUUUAAUUCUAAAUCGUUUGACAAUAUUCAAAUGAUGUUAUGUCAAUCAUUUUUGACUGAGAAUCAUUGACAUGGACGCUGGUGAUUUUGUGUGGCAUGAUUGGCACUAACAUGAGCAAUUUUUUAAUAUAUUUUGUUGUUUUAUUGUUUUUUUUUUUUAAACUCUAGGCCAAUGAGGUUGCCAACCGACCUCUUCAACCUUCGCUUGUGGUUGGCAAGGGCAUUAUUAGGGCCCUGCUAACCACAAAUCCAACUAAGGAAAGAAGAAAAAGAAAAGAAAAGAAUGAAAAAUUCUUCUAAAAAUUACAAAAAAUAUUCAUGUAAGUGUCGACUUUUUUAUGUAAUACAACUAGCGUCCAUGUCAGCGAUUCAUACCAAAAUUGGACAAAAGAGCUAUAUUGACAAAUCCUUAACUUUAACACGUUGAUAAGUUGUACUGAUAAUUUAUUAGUAAACUACUGAACAUCUGAUUAUUUCAAAAAUCAAACAAAUAGGGUAAUGACUCAAAUAAGAGUUGCAAAUUUCCCGUAAGAGUUUGUUAUAACUUUAACAAGUUGGUAUAUUUAACAAAUAAAAAUCGUUGAUAGAUUAUUGCAAUGGUUGGUAAUUUCAAACAAUUAAAUAAUUAUUUGUAAGUGGACUCAUAUAAAAGUUAGUAAUUUUUUUUUAAUAAAAGUUAAUAACUAUAACACUUUGUUAAAUUUAAUAGAUAAAAGUUAGUAAAUAAUUGGGCGCGUUGAGUCUUUCAAACAAUCAAAUUAACAUUGGUAAGUAUACUCAAAUAAGAGUCUGUAAUUUUUUUUGUGAGAAUCAGUGACUUAAACAAGUUGAUGAGUUGCACAAAUAAAUAUUGGUAAAUUAUUAAAAUAGACGACAAUUUAAAACAACCAAACAACUGCUGAUACUUGCAUAGAAUGGUGGUAAUUUACUAGUGCAUUACAGGCUAAAUAAGUUAUCAAUUGAAAAUUUGUUACCAAUGGAUUUUGAUAGUUACCGGCACUCUUCAUGUUUCAUCAACACGGACUAAUGUUCCAAUGUUUUGCCCAUGGAAAAAUAGAGUUGUCUCAUACACUCUCUCUUGGUAGAGUAAGGAUGGCGAUGAUAAAAAAUAUCAAUUGCAUUAUGAUUGACAUGAUUAAUCAAUCAAGCGUGUUACAUUUCCUUAUUAAUUCGUUAUGUCAUAUGUCUUUACUAUUUAUGUAAUCAUUAUUGUUAAAUUAUGUUUCGAGUUUGGAUUUAUACACACAAAACAUUUACAUAUUGUAACAAGAAAGCAUGUCCGCGGAGCAUUUAAUGAGAAGUGGCGCGUGAUAGGAGCCGAAAGAAUCCAGCCCUAGAUAUCAGCUUCACGUUGGAAAUGAUGGCCACGAUCCAUGGGUUGACUUUUGUGACCCUUCUCAUUUGACAGCAUGAAAUCAUUCUGAAGAGUUUUUUUUUUAACAAACAUUCUGAAGAGUUGACCGUCCGAAUUUUUCUACGUCAUUAAAUGCACGCACAUGGCCAUGUGCGUGCAUUCCCAUAGAAACUGGCGAGCAUUUGCUGCUUCAGAAGCCUAUCUUGUAGGCGCCGAAUCCUCUCUCUCUCUUCUUGGUCAACUUUUGUGGACUUCUUUUGUCUUUUUGUGGAUAGACAAAGAAAGAAGAGGGAAGCAGAAGCUAUUCUCCUCGUGCCAGUGCAUGAUGGUCAUACGCUCACAGGCCAACAUUAACUGCAUGGAGGCAUAUGCUUUGAAGAUCAGCACGGUGUUGACAUUUCUGGAGUACAAUUUUGAUUUGUUUCCUUCCCUUCCACCGAUAAAAGGAGAGAGCUUCUGAGGACGAGGCAGCAAUGAGAGGAAAGAGCUCGAGAGAGAGUGAGAGGCGUGAGCUCAUAGAGGUUUGUGUGGAGUUGAGUCCAUUUGAUUGAGUUGUUAUAUACGGUGGGUAUUGGGUAUAAAAUAGAGCUGAGAAACAUAUGAGUGCAUGAGUUAUUGUAAUUUUACAAUUCUCUAAUUUAUAGUAAGUUAUUUUGCUGACUCCCCCUAUGGACGUAGAUUCCAAUAUUCAAACCGAAUCACGUAAAUUUCUGGUGUCUUUUUAUUGUUCAUCGUUUUAUUUAUUUCGAUUUCUAUAGCUUCCGAUAUAAUUGCAAAAUUUCGAUCCGCUUCCGCUGCGCCACCAAUUCUAACAAUCACAUCUCAUGAACUAGCUUUGCUUUUCAAAACAUUUUGACUACGUUCACAUAAGAUCACUAGUAAUUAUAGUUAAUGUAUGUCCAAAAACAUUGUGAGAGCCUGUAAUCAAAGAAAAAUCAUAGUUUUCAGUACAUCAUAUUAAUGCGUCUUGUAAGUUCCAUAAUCGGUGUUUUGAAAAUCGAAAUUUUCUUGGUAAGUUAUUAUUGGCCAUAUCGAGUGUGGAAAUAGUGCAGGGUGCGUGUGCAUAGGAGCAGCUGCAGAGAUUAUCUCCAAUAAAGAGAGAGAAGAAGAAGAAGAAGAAGAAGAAGAAGAAGAAGACAGCUUCUUCCCAUGUAUGCGAUGAUCUGAUCUUCAGGCAAUUGUCCAAUUGAAACCAUGACUCAAUCCUGAGUUCAUUUAUACCUCUCGCCUUGUACUUCCGACUUAAGCAUUAAUCAACGACAACGCAUCUUCACUCAGAGUGUAUUACCGUUACGUAAAAUACUUCAUGGGUCGAAUUCACAUCGGUCCCUUGGGAUUUAAUUUUCGUACCCGGCCGCAUUAAAUACAUGAUAUGGUCCAAAAAAAAUUAGGUAAUUCGUAACUCUGAUGUGGACCUCAUAGUUAGCGAAUACAUAGUACGGGCAACAACGGCCAUUUAAUCCCAGUGGACAAUGGACAGCCAUCCAUGCUUGUUUAGGGAAGAGAGAAGGGGGGGGGGGGGGGGGUCCAAUUCUAUCCUGUCUUCGUUUACACCUGAUGGGAAUUAUGAGUUGUUGGCGUGCUGCAUCGGUAGAGUGAAGAGCUUGUCUAGGACCCUUUGGGAAAACUUGAAUUGGAUGGAGUCCCUCAUUCAAUGUUAGUACGAUGGUUCCUGUUCAAAAUGACAGUAGGAAAACACUACUUUUACUAUUAAGAUUAGGACAACAGUCCCUGUUUAAAACACCGGUAAGAAAACAUUAUUUUGAAGAUUAGAAUUAUGAAUUGACAUAUCGAGGUUAAGAUUACUUGUGUAUACAAAGAAUCUAUCCCGAUUGUUCCAAUCACCUCGUGUAUAGGUUCCUUUUGUUUAAACAUCUUUGAUGUGGCAUUGUCGAAUUGCUUCGUUAACAUUUUCUCUGAUUGCCACCCCUCCCGUUUGGCCGAGUUAGAAGCUCCGAGGAUGACCGAAUGAUGCCUGGUAACCUUUUUACUUAGUGCAAAUCACUGGUUCUUCACAGCGCAGCUCGCUUUCACGUCUCGGUCUCGUCUCUCUCUCGAACUAAGAUCUGAUUGGAAGUCGAGCCACCUUAAAUACGCACCUACAUCUACCAUCAUCAAGAUCAGACGACAGCGACGGACGGACAGGCCAACGCGAAAUGGACGAAGCUACACGAACACCAAGGCCGGGCAAAGUACAGUGCCACACCGGGUCGAGCCGUCCUUGUCAUGAAUUUACUCUGACCGCCUUCAGCGCCCUUCCUCGCGUUUCUUUCGCCCAGACGUACAUCAUGCAUGUGAAGAACGGAGAUGGUGCAGGAUGCGACCCGGAUUUUCUUGCUUUCUUUUUCUUUUCUCGUCUCGUCCUUUCCGUGCCCUUUUGGGAUGGAGAAAUUGAAGACGGUCAGUAGGGGUAAGUAGCAUUUCCAUUUAUAAACAGACCCUCCAAGAAGCCAAGAAGAACAGCACACAGGCCUCAGUUCAUCGAGAGAGACAUGGAAGAGGAAACUGAGGCCCUGGAGGAGAUGGAGAGAGAGCUCGAGGAGAUGAGGGAGUGUUACAGGAGCGGGAGGACGAUGGAGGCCUCUUGGAGGAAGUCACAGCUCAAAGGGUUGCUUCGACUCCUCAGGGAAAGAGAGGAGGAGAUCUUCAGGGCCCUCCAUCAGGACCUGGGCAAGCAUCCUGCGGAGGCCUACAGGGAUGAGGUGAACCCGGAUUACAUUGGCGGCACUUCCUUCUUAAUGAG